CUUCUCUAUAUCAAAUGAGCAGGCCGCACCGUACAAAAAACAAAAUAUUCAAACUUUAUUUGAUUUUAUGCUGUUGGCGUACAUUUUACGCAGUAUAAUGUACAUCACAUUACUUCAAUAGAGAAGAUGUACCGUUGUACAGUUAUUUUAAUGUGUAAAAAAAAUGUUAACAGGGUUGAGUGGUUAAAUAAUAACAAACACUUUCUAAAUUGUUGGUAUUUAUGGUAUUUUUUCCCUACUUAUAUUCAUAAUGUUAAUCUUUUAGACAUUGAAAGGCAUUCACCAACAUCCGAUAUUGUUGUUGAAUUUAGACUAGGAGAUAGAUAGAGAAUAUUAUGUAUUUAGAAAUGUUAUGUUUAUUGAGAUAUUUGUAUUGUAUAUUUUUAUUACAACCUGUUGACAAAUUAAUGUAUGGAGUUCUGGUAUACUGAUUGUUAUAGUGAUGAAUUGUUUAACUGCUAAUUAUUACUUUUAGUAACAGGUUUUAUGACCAAAAUCAUUGAAAGUACUCUAGAUUUAAAUCUCAUCCUUGCCAACGUAAUUAUAGACAAUAUUUGAUGACCAAAUGAUAUAGAUGGACUGUGAUUUAGGAUUAAAUAGAUCAUCAAUCUUA